UCAAAGGAAGCUCAAUGUUGUUCUUCAGCUGGCUGAGGACACAGCGAUGGCGUAGCUCAUUUGCUUCAUUUUCUACAUGGAAAGAUACAGUUUGAUUUGGAAAGUGACUUGAUUUGAGACAGUUCUAGGGAACUGGACUGCUGAGGUAUCCGUGAAGAGGAGGUGCUGCUGCUGAGCUGUGGACUGAACGGCCGAUGUCCAGACAACACGGAUGGAGUCGCUCCAAAGAACCUUCCUAACAUCUGACUGGAAGCUAUUCAUGAGGAAGCAACGAAACUGCCAUCCACACCCCCGGGCUGGAGAGGCCUGGGGACAUCUGUGGGUGAACCAGACUGACCAGCUUGGCUCCCACACCUCAACCCAGUUCCAGCUUUAAGACCUAUAAAAGCUCCCGGAGCAGCAGUUUGAUGAUGCCCCCUCUCUGAGGCCUGCUUCUGCUGUACGGGGCAGCUCUAUGCACUUUCUCUGGAGCUCAUGUCUGUGAGCCUAUAAUAAACUCCUUCUGCAAACUC
rnacentral:lncRNA from 1 species